rnacentral:rRNA from 1 species
GUGAACGCUGGCGGUAGGCCUAACACAUGCCAGUCGCACGGCAGCACAGUAAGAGCUUGCUCUUACGGGUGGCGAGUGGCGGACGGGUGAGGAAUACAUCGGAAUCUACUUUUUCGUGGGGGAUAACGUAGGGAAACUUACGCUAAUACCGCAUACGACCUACGGGUGAAAGCAGGGGAUCUUCGGACCUUGCGCGAUUGAAUGAGCCGAUGUCGGAUUAGCUAGUUGGCGGGGUAAAGGCCCACCAAGGCGACGAUCCGUAGCUGGUCUGAGAGGAUGAUCAGCCACACUGGAACUGAGAAACGGUCCAGACUCCUACGGGAGGCAGCAGUGGGGAAUAUUGGACAAUGGGCGCAAGCCUGAUCCAGCCAUACCGCGUGGGUGAAGAAGGCCUUCGGGUUGUAAAGCCCUUUUGUUGGGAAAGAAAAGCAGCAGGUUAAUACCCCGCUGUUCUGACGGUACCCAAAGAAUAAGCACCGGCUAACUUCGU